ACAUGCCUACAACAUUAAUGCAACAUAUCCCAUCAGAACUCCAGAGUUAAGCGCGCUUGCGCUAGAGUAGUACUAGGAUGGGUCACCUCCCAGGAAGUCCUAGUGUUUGGCAUGCC
rfam:Picea glauca, whole genome shotgun sequence.